rnacentral:rRNA from 1 species
ACGUAGGUGGCAAGCGUUGUCCGGAUUUAUUGGGUUUAAAGGGUGCGUAGGCGGGCCCUUAAGUCAGUGGUGAAAACUCCGAGCUUAACUCGGAAACUGCCAUUGAUACUAUAGGUCUUGAAUUCGGUCGAGGUUGGCGGAAUGUGUCGUGUAGCGGUGAAAUGCUUAGAUAUGACACAGAACACCGAUUGCGAAGGCAGCUAGCUAGACCGACAUUGACGCUGAGGCACGAAAGCGUGGGGAUCAAACAGGA